rnacentral:rRNA from 13 species
CGCUGGCGGCGUGCUUAACACAUGCAAGUCGAACGGAAAGGCCCUGCUUUUGUGGGGUGCUCGAGUGGCGAACGGGUGAGUAACACGUGGGUGAUCUGCCCUGCACUUCGGGAUAAGCCUGGGAAACUGGGUCUAAUACCGGAUAGGAGCCAUUUUUAGUGUGAUGGUUGGAAAGUUUUUUCGGUGUAGGAUGAGCUCGCGGCCUAUCAGCUUGUUGGUGGGGUAAUGGCCUACCAAGGCGUCGACGGGUAGCCGGCCUGAGAGGGUGUACGGCCACAUUGGGACUGAGAUACGGCCCAGACU